GUGGGCCAGAGCCAGCCCCAGGAAGCCGUGAUUCAAGGGGACGAAUAGCCCCUGCCUCCGAGUGACAGAAGUCACCUCAGAGUCCCGCCCAUCAUCACAAGUAAGCUUAAGAUUGGAUGGUCUGAAAAUGACAGUCGUAUUCUGAUUUCCAGCCUGAGAAUAUCCUGGUGGAUGAGAGUUUAGCCAAGCCAACCAUCAAACUGGCUGACUUUGGAGAUGCUGUUCAGCUCAACACGACCUACUACAUCCACCAGUUACUGGGGAACCCUGAAUUCGCAGCCCCUGAAAUCAUCCUCGGGAACCCUGUCUCCCUGACCUCGGAUACGUGGAGUGUUGGAGUGCUCACAUACGUACUUCUUAGUGGCGUGUCCCCCUUCCUGGAUGACAGUGUGGAAGAGACCUGCCUGAACAUUUGCCGCUUAGACUUUAGCUUCCC
rnacentral:lncRNA from 1 species